CAACGGCAGCGGCGCGAGUUGCUGCCGCCACUCGGCCAACGGUUGUUCACAUCACAAAACAAGCUCCGCCACCAGUUUCCCUCCCUGCAGCCUCUCACCGCACUGUCACUCAUUUCAAUGAAGACCACUUCAAACCACACCAGACCGAACGAUUCAGCAGUACACCAUUCGCGCCGAGCUUUCAUAUUGAAUUCAUAUUGGGCCACGUCUUUUGCAGGUCUGUUUUUGUUUAAAAAGGCACUAUUCCGUUUCUGAUGAAUAUUUACAAGUACGCAGUCCUGAUCGGUUUACUACUCUUAAAGAUUGGCGUUAAGGAAUUCAAUUGUUGCUUUAAUUUUAGAAGGCGAUUAUUCAUUCCCGACCACCCCCCCCCCAACUUCCAUUGAGGUUCUGUCAAAACUUCUCCAUGUUAAGUAUGCCAUUCGGAAAGAUCUCGAAGCUUGUGUGUGUGGCUCCACUUCUGCCUCCGUGUAUUUGGUAUGCAUCUGGAGUUUGUGGGUACCACUCAGCAAUUGCGAAAAUGAAAAAAUCGUUUUGCAGUCACGGGAAACUUGGAUAAAACUGGCGUGUCAAAGUGAAUUACUGAGGUCUCCUUCUACCGGACCAUCUAGGAUGACCAUCUGCAAUCAUGAGUCCUACCAAACAUCUUACCAAACAUCUGAAUGGAAUGGCAUCAAGUCGCAGGGGUUGCAUCCAGUUAUAUUUACAUCGAGGGGAGCGUCAUGCUGACUAUUACAGUCCCAAUCACCACUUGUCAGCACCAAAUGCAACAAGGUUCAAAAUGCUAAACCUCCUGACCUAAUGUGAAUGUGAUCAUUAAAUCUUGGAGCUUUUCUGACAGCAUUUCCACUGCAGUGAGCACUCGUAGAUUUCAAAGCUGGGACUGAUCAGCGUGUUGAUGCUUGAACCUGAAACGGCAGAAAACCAAACACAGCAACAAGAAGCCCCAAAUGACGGCACAUGACAAAACACGAUGCAUUGUUGAAAAUUCAUGAAUCUUUACCGGAAUCUUUCUGAGACAUUCAGACAGUGCUUGCUGUAGAAGCAUUGGCUGCCUGUAUCAAGAUGGAGCUUAGAGGUGUGUGCUGCAUUUCUUGUGUGACUUUAACAAGGUGUGUGUCAUUGGCAAUCUCUGACUUUCAUAUUCAACUUUUCUAGACUGUAUAUGCCAUCAAUCUACACUUCUAACUGUGGGAGAGAAAUGUUUUAAAUGAUUUUCAAUUGUAUAAAUGUGAAUCCCAGCACUUCCAGUGAUUACCACAGAAUAUGCGGUAGAUGUGAGAGUAAAAACAUACUCCAGAAAUUCAAAUAAGGUCUGAGAUCAAGGUCAUGAAUACAUGGUGCCUUCGUUAUUUUUAUAACUUCUUAUAAUCUGGCAAAAAGUGCAUCAA